UACGUAGGCAGCAAGCGUUGUUCGGAGUUACUGGGCGUAAAGGGUGCGUAGGCGGCUUCUUAAGUCUGGUGUGAAAUCUCCCGGCUCAACUGGGAGGGUGCGCCGGAUACUGAGGGGCUAGAGUGUGGGAGAGGAAAGUGGAAUUCCUGGUGUAGCGGUGAAAUGCGUAGAUAUCAGGAGGAACACCGGUGGUGUAAACGGCUUUCUGGACCAUAACUGACGCUGAGGCACGAAAGCGUGGGUAGCAAACAGG
rnacentral:rRNA from 2 species